ACACAUUAAUCUACUUAUCUGGAAUCACUUUGCCUCUAAAGGCCAGAGAAAAAUCACAGCUUCCUUGUCGGAGGGGAAAAGGACAGGUGAUCUGGGGAAAACGCAGCUACACCUGGAGCAAGGUCUCUUCCCGGCUUGGCAAUCUCAGCUGUGCCGGCGCUACGGGACCCGAGCCGUCCCAGAAACCAAAGGGCAGGCACGGCAGCAAACGCCUGAGGACUGAGAAGACGUCAAGGUCCAGACACUCGUCAUUAACACCUACUCACAACCGAUUCCCCCACCCACUUUGGCCUCACCAAGAUUUGGCAAGCAGGAGAAUUAAAUGUCACUUUGCUACCAUCCUCUGCUGAACCUCCAACAGAAAAACCCAUAUUGCCCAAGUACAAAGCAUGAAAUACUGCUGGCCUACCCUGACUUUUCAGCUAUUCUCCUUGCAUAUAGUAAAUGACUCCCCAGGAGACAUCAUCUUAAAGUCUGAGACACAAAAAAGGACCCAAAGUCCUAUAUGCUUGAAGAAUUGCAUGGCAAUAUAUUUAGUUAACAUUUUCUAUUUUAUUAGAAAAAACAGACAAUUCAAUUGUCGAUGUGAUCG
rnacentral:lncRNA from 1 species